CUUUUACUAUGAAGAGUUUGAUCCUGGCUCAGGAUUAACGCUAGCGGCAGGCAUAAUACA
rnacentral:rRNA from 1 species